CUCUUUCGAUCUAAUGACCACUUUGUCAAGCUCAUUUCCUGGUAUGACAAUGAAUUUGGCUACAGCAACCGGGUGGUGGACCUUAUGGUCCGCAUGGCCUCCAAAAUGUAAGAGCUCCCUGGACCACCAGUCCCAGCAAGAGGAAGAGAGAGGCCCUCAGCUGCUGGGGAGCAGCCCCAACUCAUCCCCCAACACACUGAGAAUCUCCCAACCUCCACAGUUUCCAUCCCAGAUCCCCUGAAUUAGGAGAGGGGCUUGGGGAGCCCUACCUUGUCAAGUACAAUCAAGAAAGUAUACUGUACCCAGUACC